CCUGGCCCAUCAUCUAAAUCCCUUAAUCCCCUUUUUUCUCCACAUUGAAACUCAACCAGAACAUCGAUAAUAUCUCUCUUUCUUUCUGAAACUCUAUCUAUCCUUUGAACCAUCGGGUAAUAGCGAUUUCAAUAAUCCUCAACCUUCUCAUUUUCCUUUUCCUCCCACAUUCAUCAAUCCCACAAUUCUUCCAUCAACUUUACAUUAUUUCAACAACUUUUUCUGCUCAAUCUGACCCUAAAGAGAUUUCCACCGCCACUGCUACCCCUGUAAAGGUGAAAAGUAUAAAGGACUACAGGAUUUGAGAUUGUUACUCCUUUAAUUUUAUGGGUCUGAAAGUGAAUACCUUCAAACAACCCUUUUCUGUUUCUCAUCAAUCUAAAUUUUAGGAUUUUACUUUUUCCAAUUGGGUCUCUCUAUCUCUCUAUGGGAUUUGGGCAUUCCAAGAAUUCUAAAUUUGAAUUCUGGGAUCCUCUAUAUAGCUGUUGCAAUGCCCCUUCAUCUUUGGCUAUAAAAGGAGCAUUUGGGCUCCCAUUUUUGGGGAGCAAAAAAAAUCAAGAAAAAAAGAAUCACCAAGAAAGAAUUAGCUGAAAUUAGCACCAAGCGUCGGCAAAUCUAUACUAUCGCUUCUUAAUUUCCUUUGUUUUUUUCGAGUUUAAGUUUGAGUUUUGAUCUCUCUAACGAGGAAGUCUUAGUUCGCUGCCCAACACAAGCGCGUUUGGGGUCUCAUGUCUUGACACCAUCUCUAUCCAAAUCAGAGAGGCGAUAAUAGAUGCAUUACGUGUUUUUGUCUAGCAGUCUAGUGCCUCUUUCCAUCCUUCAAGCUUUAUUCCUUGUAGACAUUUGCUAUUAUUUUCAUUUAACAUUUCGUACAUUACUAUUUAAAAAUUUGUGUUCUUAUUUUAAUUAGUGUAAAAAGGGAAGCCCGGUGCAUUAAAACUACCUCGAUGCACGGUGUUUGGGGAAGGGAUCCACCACAAGGAUGUAUUGUACGCAACAUUACCUUGCAUUUUUGCCAUAGACUGUUUUCAAGGCUUGAACCUACGACCUCCUGGUUACAUAGCAACAACUUUGAAUAGUGUGAAAUUCUUAAAUUUGUAUGCGAAUUUAAUUGUUCCCGUUUCGCCCAUUA